CGUUCUCAUCGAACUGUCGCCGUACUUUGGGUCGCUUCGCGUGGCGAUCACUUUGCACGCCAACUCAAGCCAUCGGCUCAGCGCCAUAGCUUCAUCCACGGUCAUAAUCUGACGCUGACAGAUGCCUACGCCGGGCCAACUCCAGAAUUAUCAGCGUAUUUGUUUUUUUUUAAGGGAGAAAUAUCGGCGUGUGAAACGAUUCGACUCCCCGUACCUUCCUUCCUUCCCAUCUGACAAAGAUUGUGGAGCAACCCCAUCUGACAAAGAUGCCUCCGAUUUUCCUCCUAAUGGCCCCAUCGCCAUUGAGUUGAGAAUUGAAAGGGGUUUAGUGUUUCUGGAACCCAGCAGACCAGGGCCUUGGCCACAUCGAUGAUCGAUCGAUCACGUCGGCUUCAGUACGACCACGCUGAGAGGAAAAUUAAGCAACACAGCAGUUGCACUGCACAGCGACGCAGCUCUUCAAUUCCAUGGACUGGUUCGGAAUUCAGAAACCAUUAAUUAGGACGGGUCGAUCGACUAGUCUCUGAUCCAUCAGCUACUGCAGCUUCCUGGGAAGAGCUAACCAAGAAUUAGUAGUACUAGUUAGUAGGUGUCAGCACUCAGCAGCAAAAGCUGAUGUGCACUAGGCCUUGCCCUGUUUAUUUCAUGGGUCAACAUCUUUUCACACUUUCAGCAAGAGAGGUACAAUCAUUCUCGCUGGUGUUCACACCGCAUUAGCCUCAUACGCCAGAUGCAGCUACUUGAGAUCUGGUUCACCUCCCAAUAUAUGAAAUAUCCUAUCGUAU